rnacentral:rRNA from 1 species
GACGAACGCUGGCGGCGUGCUUAACACAUGCAAGUCGAACGGAAAGGCUCCAGCUUGCUGGAGUACUCGAGUGGCGAACGGGUGAGUAACACGUGGGUGAUCUGCCCUGCACUUCGGGAUAAGCCUGGGAAACUGGGUCUAAUACCGGAUAGGACCGCACUUUGGUGUGUGUGGUGGAAAGGUUUUUCUGGUGUGGGAUGAGCUCGCGGCCUAUCAGUUUGUUGGUGGGGUCAUGGCCUACCAAGACGGCGACGGGUAGCCGGCCUGCGGGGGUGGACGGGGACAUUGGGACUUGGAUACGGCCCAGACUCCUACGGGAGGCAGCAGUGGGGAAUAUUGUACAAUGGGGGACACCCUGAUGCAGCGACGCCGCGUGGGGGAUGAAGGCCUUCGGGUUGUAAACUCCUUUCGCUAGGGACGAAGCUUUUUGUGACGGUACCUGGAGAAGAAGCACCGGCUAACUACGUG